CCUACGGGUGGCAGCAGUGGGGAAUAUUGGACAAUGGGGGCAACCCUGAUCCAGCCAUGCCGCGUGUGUGAAGAAGGCCCUCGGGUUGUAAAGCACUUUCAGUGAGGAAGAAUGCCUGGUGGUUAAUACCCAUCAGGAAAGACAUCACUCACAGAAGAAGCACCGGCUAACUCCGUGCCAGCAGCCGCGGUAAUACGGAGGGUGCGAGCGUUAAUCGGAAUUACUGGGCGUAAAGCGCGCGUAGGUGGCUUGAUAAGCCGGUUGUGAAAGCCCCGGGCUCAACCUGGGAACGGCAUCCGGAACUGUCAAGCUAGAGUGCAGGAGAGGAAGGUAGAAUUCCCGGUGUAGCGGUGAAAUGCGUAGAGAUCGGGAGGAAUACCAGUGGCGAAGGCGGCCUUCUGGACUGACACUGACACUGAGGUGCGAAAGCGUGGGUAGCAAACAGGAUUAGAUACCCUUGUAGUC
rnacentral:rRNA from 1 species